CUCCGUAGGUGAACCUGCGGAGGGAUCAUUACAAGUGACCCCGGUCUAACCACCGGGAUGUUCAUAACCCUUUGUUGUCCGACUCUGUUGCCUCCGGGGCGACCCUGCCUUCGGGCGGGGGCUCCGGGUGGACACUUCAAACUCUUGCGUAACUUUGCAGUCUGAGUAAACUUAAUUAAUAAAUUAAAACUUUUAACAACGGAUCUCUUGGUUCUGGCAUCGAUGAAGAACGCAGCGAAAUGCGAUAAGUAAUGUGAAUUGCAGAAUUCAGUGAAUCAUCGAAUCUUUGAACGCACAUUGCGCCCCCUGGUAUUCCGGGGGGCAUGCCUGUUCGAGCGUCAUUUCACCACUCAAGCCUCGCUUGGUAUUGGGCAACGCGGUCCGCCGCGUGCCUCAAAUCGACCGGCUGGGUCUUCUGUCCCCUAAGCGUUGUGGAAACUAUUCGCUAAAGGGUGUUCGGGAGGCUACGCCGUAAAACAACCCCAUUUCUAAGGUUGACCUCGGAUCAGGUAGGGAUACCCGCUGAACUUAAGCAUAUCAAUAAGCGG
rnacentral:rRNA from 1 species